GACGAACGCUGGCGGCGUGCUUAACACAUGCAAGUCGAACGGAAAGGCCCCUUUGGGGUUACUCGAGUGGCGAACGGGUGAGUAACACGUGCGUAACCUGCCCUUGACUUCGGGAUAACUUCAGGAAACUGGGGCUAAUACCGGCUAGGAAUCCUUGCUGCAUGGUGGGGGUUGUAAAGCUUCGGCGGUGUUGGAUGGACUCGCGGCUUAUCAGCUUGUUGGUGGGGUAGUGGCUUACCAAGGCUUUGACGGGUAGCCGGCCUGAGAGGGCGACCGGCCACAUUGGGACUGAGAUACGGCCCAGACUCCUACGGGGGGCAGCAGUGGGGAAUAUUGGACAAUGGGCGGAAGCCUGAUGCAGCAACGCCGCGUGCGGGAUGACGGCCUUCGGGUUGUAAACCGCUUUAAGCAGGGGCGAAGCUUGUGGUGACGGUACCUGCAGAAGAAGCACCGGCUAACUACGUG
rnacentral:rRNA from 1 species